rnacentral:tRNA from 1 species
GGGGGCGUAGCUCAACUGGCUAGAGCAACGGGCUUUUAACCCGUAGGUUCUGGGUUCGAUCCCCAGCGCCCUCA